UCUCAUAUUUGUGCUACAUAUAAUUAAUAUUAAAAAUUACAUUAAUUUCCCAAGUCAUCACCCAAAUUCAAUCAAUGUCCGCAACACAGCAUCUCAUCUAAUACCAGCAUCGCCACCAUAGAAAAAGAAGAAGAAAGUUGUUGGAAGCCAAAAUAAUAAUAAUAAUAAUAAUAAUAAGAAUAAAAAAAUUGGGGGCAAAAAAAAAAAAAAGAAAGAACAGAGGAUCAAGAAUUCACAUUCUCUUAUUCCCCAUAAGCAUGCCUAUCCAGUUGUCACGGGGUGAUAGUUUUGCGCAGCAAGUUCCCGUGCGGCACUUGAGCGACCUCAGCGUGUGAGUUGCCAAGUAAGCCUAGAUUACUCCCUAAACAAGCCAAGCACACACACUUGGAGAAAAUGUUAAGGGAAGUAAGAGUGGAAUGGCCAAAGAUGAUUGUAUUACACUUUGAAUAAUUACAAGAGUGUUUGUACAAGAGAGCUUGAGAGCUAGUGUGCUAGGUGUGUUGUGUGGGUGUG
rnacentral:lncRNA from 1 species